rnacentral:rRNA from 1 species
UACGUAGGGGGCAAGCGUUGUCCGGAUUUAUUGGGCGUAAAGCGCUCGCAGGUGGUCCGAUGCGUCGUGCGUGAAAGACCCCGGCUCAACUGGGGGGGUGUCGUGCGAUACGGUCGGACUGGAGGCCAGUAGGGGGAUGCGGAAUUCCGGGUGUAGUGGUGGAAUGCGCAGAUAUCAGGAGGAACACCUAUAGCGAAGGCAGCUUGCUGGGACGUUACUGAGCUAAGGCGCGAAAGCGUGGGGAGCGAACAGG